rnacentral:rRNA from 1 species
ACAUCCAGAGAACUUAGCAGAGAUGCUUUGGUGCCCUUCGGGGAACUCUGAGACAGGUGCUGCAUGGCUGUCGUCAGCUCGUGUUGUGAAAUGUUGGGUUAAGUCCCCGNAACGAGCGCAACCCUUAUCCUUUGUUGCCAGCGGUUCGGCCGGGAACUCAAAGGAGACUGCCGGUGAUAAACCGGAGGAAGGUGGGGAUGACGUCAAGUCAUCAUGGCCCUUACGGCCAGGGCUACACACGUGCUACAAUGGCGCAUACAAAGAGAAGCGACCUCGCGAGAGCAAGCGGACCUCAUAAAGUGCGUCGUAGUCCGGAUUGGAGUCUGCAACUCGACUCCAUGAAGUCGGAAUCGCUAGUAAUCGUAGAUCAGAAUGCUACGGUGAAUACGUUCCCGGGCCUUGUACACACCGCCCGUCACACCAUGGGAGUGGGUUGCAAAAGAAGUAGGUAGCUUAACCUUCGGGAGGGCGCUUACCACUUUGUGAUUCAUGACUGGGGUGAAGUCGUAACAAGGUAAGCGUAGCGAG